rnacentral:rRNA from 1 species
GAUCCUGGCUCAGAUUGAACGCUGGCGGAAUGCUUUACACAUGCAAGUCGAACGGUAGAGGGGGCAACCCUUCGAGAGUGGCGAACUGGUGAGUAAUAUAUCGGAACGUGCCCAGUCGUGGGGGAUAACGUAGCGAAAGUUACGCUAAUACCGCAUACGAUCUACGGAUGAAAGCGGGGGAUCGCAAGACCUCGCGCGAUUGGAGCGGCCGAUAUCAGAUUAGGUAGUUGGUGGGGUAAAGGCUCACCAAGCCAACGAUCUGUAGCUGGUCUGAGAGGACGACCGGCCACACUGGAACUGAGACACGGUCCAGACUCCUACGGGAGGCAGCAGUGGGGAAUUUUGGACAAUGGACGCAAGUCUGAUCCAGCCAUUCCGCGUGCAGGAUGAAGGCCCUCGGGUUGUAAACUGCUUUUGUACGGAACGAAAAGGUUUCUAUUAAUACUAGGAGCUCAUGACGGUACCGUAAGAAUAAGCACCGGCUAACUACGUG